rnacentral:rRNA from 1 species
UCCUGAAUAUAAACUAUUUAUUACCGGGGAACUACAAAUACUAUUAUUUAAAACCCAAAGAACUUGGCGGUGUUUUAGACUAUUUAGGGGAACCUGUUUCAUAAUCGAUAACCCACGAAAUACCUAACCUUUUUUAGCAAUCAGUAUGUAUACCAUUGUCGUCAGGCAACUUUUAAAAACAAAAAAGUUGGCAACAAAUAUUUUAACUUUAACGUCAAAUCAAGGUGCAACCAAUAAAAAGGUGAAAAUGGGUUACAAUUACAAUUUAUAAUAUGAAUUAAGAUUUUAAAAACCUUAUGAAGGAGGACUUAAAAGUAAAAAAAUAAUUAUAAAAAUUUCUUGAAUUAAGCUCUGAAACGUGC